GCACAGAUGUAGUUGGUCUCUGAGAUCUUAUAGCUCUCCAGGUCGGUGAUGCGGAGUUUAGGGGGAACAAGCCCUUGAGAUGGAACUAUCCCAAUAUCAACAAUGUCGUCCAACUUUUCCUGCUGUCUGGCAACAAAAAGAGGCAGGGCUGGUGCUUGUGGCGUGGUCACUGGGAAGAGUCAGGAACUCCUCCCCCUCUGGGUUUGGACCAUGGUGUACGUGGAGUUGUGUUUUAAUUGUGUUGAAGGCAACAGCUGGAUUGAUGCCUGUAAAGAAGCCAAGUUCAGUGCACCUAGCCUGUGGCCACACAUGAUGUCUUUGAGGGUGUCACUCACCACCUCAGUCCCAGCAGCAGUAUCCUGGAGCACACAGACCCAAUCACAUGCGUGGGGUGCAUUGUUUCUCAGAAUAACUUUCUCCACCGAGGAUGUACCAAAGUAUACAGGUCCAAACCACAGACAGGACAAUGGAGCACCCUGUAAAAUGGCACAGCGUCUUUACAUGAACACAAUUUAGAGGGGUUUUCUGAAGACUUUCUUACAGCGCCUUCUCAUCGAUCAGCCUGGGCCCAUCUGUGCACAAUUCCACUUUCAGCCACUGAGUGGCGCCAGCUGCUAUGACUCCACUACAAGGAGACAGUCUGACUGAUGGGUUUCGAUUG